UACGGCUCAGUAACACGUGGACAAUCUACCCUAAGGAGGGGGAUAACCCCGGGAAACUGGGGAUAAUACCCCAUAGACUAUGAAUGCUGGAAUGCUUUGUAGUCGAAAGGUCCGCCGCCUUAGGAUGGGUCUGCGGCCGAUUAGGUAGUUGUUGGGGUAACGGCCCAACAAGCCUGUAAUCGGUACGGGUUGUGGGAGCAAGAGCCCGGANAUGGAUUCUGAGACACGAAUCCAGGCCCUACGGGGCGCAGCAGGCGCGAAAACUUUACAAUGCGGGAAACCGUGAUAAGGGAACUCUGAGUGCCCGUUAAAUCGGGCUGUCCAUCAGUUUAAAAAACUGGUGAAGAAAGGGCCGGGCAAGACCGGUGCCAGCCGCCGCGGUAAUACCGGCGGCUCGAGUGGUGGCCACUAUUACUGGGCUUAAAGCGUUCGUAGCUGGUUUGUUAAGUCUCUGGGGAAAUCUUCCGGCUCAACCGGAAGGCGUCUCAGGGAUACUGGCAGACUAUGGACCGGAAGARGUGAGGGGUACUCCAGGGGUAGGAGUGAAAUCCUGUAAUCCUUGGGGGGACCACCUGUGGCGAAGGCGCCUCACCA
rnacentral:rRNA from 1 species